UACGUAGGUGGCAAGCGUUGUCCGGAAUUACUGGGUGUAAAGGGAGCGUAGGCGGGAAUGCAAGUCAAGUGUUAAAUCUAUCGGCUCAACUGAUAGUCGCGCUUGAAACUGUAUUUCUUGAGUGAAGUAGAGGCAGGCGGAAUUCCUAGUGUAGCGGUGAAAUGCGUAGAUAUUAGGAGGAACACCAGUGGCGAAGGCGGCCUGCUGGGCUUUUACUGACGCUGAGGCUCGAAAGCGUGGGUAGCAAA
rnacentral:rRNA from 1 species